rnacentral:rRNA from 1 species
ACCAUGCAGUCGAACGAUGAACCGCUUUCGGGCGGGGAUUAGUGGCGAACGGGUGAGUAACACGUGGGCAAUCUGCCCUGCACUCUGGGACAAGCCCUGGAAACGGGGUCUAAUACCGGAUAUGACCGUCUGCCGCAUGGUGGAUGGUGUAAAGCUCCGGCGGUGCAGGAUGAGCCCGCGGCCUAUCAGCUUGUUGGUGAGGUAGUGGCUCACCAAGGCGACGACGGGUAGCCGGCCUGAGAGGGCGACCGGCCACACUGGGACUGAGACACGGCCCAGACUCCUACGGGAGGCAGCAGUGGGGAAUAUUGCACAAUGGGCGAAAGCCUGAUGCAGCGACGCCGCGUGAGGGAUGACGGCCUUCGGGUUGUAAACCUCUUUCAGCAGGGAAGAAGCGAAAGUGACGGUACCUGCAGAAGAAGCGCCGGCUAACUACGUGCCAGCAGCCGCGGUAAUACGUAGGGCGCAAGCGUUGUCCGGAAUUAUUGGGCGUAAAGAGCUCGUAGGCGGCUUGUCACGUCGGUUGUGAAAGCCCGGGGCUUAACCCCGGGUCUGCAGUCGAUACGGGCAGGCUAGAGUUCGGUAGGGGAGAUCGGAAUUCCUGGUGUAGCGGUGAAAUGCGCAGAUAUCAGGAGGAACACCGGUGGCGAAGGCGGAUCUCUGGGCCGAUACUGACGCUGAGGAGCGAAAGCGUGGGGAGCGAACAGGAUUAGAUACCCUGGUAGUCCACGCCGUAAACGGUGGGCACUAGGUGUGGGCAACAUUCCACGUUGUCCGUGCCGCAGCUAACGCAUUAAGU